CAUCUUUGCAGAGUGAGAGAUCUUUGUGAAUUUCUGGCCGAAUGUCUGCUACUUUUUGUCAAAGAAGUUUUGUUUUCUGUUUUUUUCCUUUUCUUACAGUUGUCCUUGGUUUGGCAUAUUUCUUCUUCACUUCCUUUUGGCAUUGAGUAUAUCAAUUGCCGAAACUAAAAUCUCUGUAUGAUUCUUGGUUUGCAGCUUGAUAAUGGUUUUUUAACUUCCCCUUUCUAAAGUUGUCAGCUUUUUAGUGAUUUUGUCUUGAUCCCUGCCUGAGUGUGAUGCUCUCUGCUUUUAGAAUUCAAGCAGUCAACUUUGCAGUGUUUUGUUUCUUCUUUUUUAUUUUGCGCUGUUAAGCACUAGAAUCACUGCCAUGCCUGGCUGAUAAUUGCUUGUGAGUACUUCUUUAGUUUUCUUUCCUCGUUUCCUCAUAGCUUUGCUAAAGCUGUUACAACUUUUCAGUGCUCCAUGCUCCAAAGGCUCAUGUUUCAGCGCGAUACAGCUUUGAAAACUCCAAACGCGUGCCCGAAGUAGUCCUGGUGGAUACCGAUGGCUUACUCCCGGACCAGAAAAACGUCUCCGAGACUUCAAUCGCAAACCAAAACGCAAACCAAAACAGGCCUCAUCCUUGAAAAAACUGGAACUGGCACACUAUAAAUGAUCUUGCUGGAAACAUUUGCGAGAAAAGAGGAGAGAGGAGAUCUGCUGGCCCUGGCAACUCGGUUCUUUCUUCUUGUGGUGUGGAGGAAAGGAAGACCAGGUUUCAGCUUUUAGUUCUGAAAGAUCAAAGCUAUACCACCACUCAUAUGUGGAGAGUGACAUUUUGUGGAACGUAAGCUUAAAGGCUUCUGGAAUUGUCUAACCAAUUCACGGUGACAUUUUGUGGAACGUAAGCUUAAAGGCUUCUGGAAUUGUCUAACCAAUUCACGGUGACAUAAUUGCAGCUGACGAAUCUUUUCUUCACACAGACA